CAGACAAGAUGGUGAAGGUCGGAGUGAAAGGAUUUGGCUGUAUUGGACGCCUGGUCACCAGGGCUGCUUUUAACUCUGGCAAGGUGGAUGUUGUGGCCAUCAAUGACCCCUUCAUUGACCUCAACUCCAUGGUCUACAUGUUCCAGUACAAUUCCACCCAUGGCAGGUUCCCUGGCACUACCAAGGCUGAGGACGGGAAGCUCGUCAUCACCAGAAAGCCCAUCACCGUCUUCCAAGAGCAAGAUCCUGCCAACAUCAAGUGGGGUGAUGCUGACGCUGAGUAUGUGGUGGAGUCCACUGGUGUCUUCACCACCAUGGAGAAGGCCGGGGCUCACCUCAAGGGUGGUGCCAAAAAGGUCAUCAUCUCUGCCCCUUCUGCUGAUGCCCCCAUGUUUGUGAUGGGUGUGAAUCACAAGAAGUACGACAACUCCCUCAAGAUCGUCAGCAGCACUUCCUGUACCACCAACUGUUUAGCCCCACUGGCCAAGGUCAUCCAUGACAACUUCGGCAUUGUGGAGGGACUCAUGACCACAGUCCAUGCCAUCACUGCCACCCAGAAGACUGUGGACGGCCCCUCUGGGAAGCUGUGGUACGAUGGCCGUGGGGCUGCCCAGAACAUCAUCCCUGCAUACACUGGCACUGCCAAGGCUGUGGGCAAGGUCAUUCUCAUGCUGAAUGGGAAGCUCACAGGCAUGGCCUUUUGUGUGCCCAUUCCCAAUGCCUCGGUGGUGGAUCUGACCUGCCUCCUGGAGAAAGCGGCUCAAUACAACGACAUCAAAAUGGUGGUGAAGCAGGCAUCAGAUGGUCCCCUCAAAGGUAUCCUGGGCUACACUGAAGACCAGGUUGUGUCUUGCGACUUCAAUAGUGACACUACUCUUUGAUGCUGGGGCUGGCAUCACCCUGAAUGACCAUUUUGUCAAGCUUAUUUCCUUAUAUGACAAUGAGUUUGCCUACAGCUACAGGGUGGUGGACCUCAUGGUCCACAUGGCCUCCAAGGAGUAA